rnacentral:rRNA from 1 species
ACAACGAAGAGUUUGAUCCUGGCUCAGGAUGAACGCUAGCGACAGGCUUAACACAUGCAAGUCGAGGGGCAGCAUGAACUUAGCUUGCUAAGUUUGAUGGCGACCGGCGCACGGGUGAGUAACGCGUAUGCAACUUACCUAUCAGAGGAGAAUAGCUCAUCGAAAGAUGAAUUAAUGCUCCAUAAAACAGGGGUCCCGCAUGGGAAUAUUUGUUAAAGAUUCAUCGCUGAUAGAUAGGCAUGCGUUCCAUUAGGCAGUUGGCGGGGUAACGGCCCACCAAACCGACGAUGGAUAGGGGUUCUGAGAGGAAGGUCCCCCACAUUGGUACUGAGACACGGACCAAACUCCUACGGGAGGCAGCAGUGAGGAAUAUUGGUCAAUGGCCGAGAGGCUGAACCAGCCAAGUCGCGUGAAGGAUGAAGGAUCUAUGGUUUGUAAACUUCUUUUAUACGGGAAUAAAGUGAGUCACGUGUGGCUUUUUGUAUGUACCGUAUGAAUAAGCAUCGGCUAACUCCGUGCCAGCAGCCGCGGUAAUACGGAGGAUGCGAGCGUUAUCCGGAUUUAUUGGGUUUAAAGGGUGCGUAGGUGGUCUUUUAAGUCAGCGGUGAAAGUUUGUGGCUCAACCAUAAAAUUGCCAUUGAAACUGGGAGACUUGAGUAUGUUUGAGGUAGGCGGAAUGCGUGGUGUAGCGGUGAAAUGCAUAGAUAUCACGCAGAACUCCGAUUGCGAAGGCAGCUUGCCAAGCCAUAACUGACACUGAAGCACGAAAGCGUGGGUAUCAAACAGGAUUAGAUACCCUGGUAGUCCACGCAGUAAACGAUGAUUACUAGGAGUUUGCGAUAUAAUGUAAGCUCUACAGCGAAAGCGUUAAGUAAUCCACCUGGGGAGUACGCCGGCAACGGUGAAACUCAAAGGAAUUGACGGGGGCCCGCACAAGCGGAGGAACAUGUGGUUUAAUUCGAUGAUACGCGAGGAACCUUACCCGGGUUUGAACGCAGUCUGACCGCCGAUGAAAGUCGGUUUCUAGCAAUAGCGGAUUGCGAGGUGCUGCAUGGUUGUCGUCAGCUCGUGCCGUGAGGUGUCGGCUUAAGUGCCAUAACGAGCGCAACCCUUGCCGUUAGUUACUAACAAGUAGUGUUGAGGACUCUAGCGGGACUGCCAGCGUAAGCUGUGAGGAAGGCGGGGAUGACGUCAAAUCAGCACGGCCCUUACAUCCGGGGCGACACACGUGUUACAAUGGCGUGGACAAAGAGCAGCCACUUGGUGACAAGGAGCUAAUCUCCAAACCACGUCUCAGUUCGGAUCGGAGUCUGCAACUCGACUCCGUGAAGCUGGAUUCGCUAGUAAUCGCGCAUCAGCCAUGGCGCGGUGAAUACGUUCCCGGGCCUUGUACACACCGCCCGUCAAGCCAUGGGAGCCGGGGGUACCUGAAGUCCGUAACCGCGAGGAUCGGCCUAGGGUAAAACUGGUGACUGGGGCUAAGUCGUAACAAGGUAGCCGUACCGGAAGGUGCGGCUGGAACACCUCCUUU